GAACUAAGGUAAACUACAAGUAAAGUUACAGAAUUUGAGUACACUAUACUAGAGUCCACGUGGUCAAGAUAAAAAGAAUUUGUGAAUUAAACGUUAGAAUAAACCCUAGCACUGAAUUUGAAAGUAGAAAUUGCAUAAAUAAAUAGAAUUAUAAGAAGAAUUACCAGCAACAGAAUCUUGAUAAGAAGAAGAAGAAGAAGUAGCGGAGGAUGAAGAAGCAGGGGAAGAUUCAAGAUCCAAAACAGAAGUGAGAAUCUUUCCGGCACCAGAAGCAAUGAAACGAGUAGGAGAGAUGACGAAACGUGAAAGCCAAUUGGGGCUUUCCAGCUGAGGUUGUGGUGGAGAGGGUCGGGAGUACGGAGUGCGGUUUCUGGCGACGGCGGUACGGCGGAGGCGGACCAUUUUGCCUCCAGAUUGAGAUCCGGAAAUGGAAGCCAUGGAGCAGAGCAACACGCACGCGCGCAAGUGCACGUGGGAAUUGAAUUGAAUUGGAAGUGAAGUUUGGAAUCUUGUUCUUGGUUUAAUAACUUAAGAGGUUUUUUAAUUUAGUUCUACUAGUCUUCUCUUUCGCUUCAAAACCUUACUUCCAAGAAACUAACAGACCACCAGGUGUUUUAUUGUCCUAAGCGGUUAUCUUCGGUUUAUUGCGUUUUCAGUUUUUUACUCGAUAUAUCUACUAGUACUAUUCAUUAUCCCGUCAAAAAUUAAAAUAGUAAUAAUUAUAGGCGCAUUUAGUAAUAAUUUACUCGAUAAACACUAGACCUUGCACCCGUGCUCAUAAUUAUUUGAAACAAAACAUUCAAAUGUAUGUGUUGAGUUUAUACAAGAUUGAGAGCUUUUGUCUAGGCCUUCAUAAUGAUCAUCAGAUGUAUGUGUUGAGUUGGUUGAAUU
rnacentral:lncRNA from 1 species